CGCAGCUGGUGCAUCACCAGAGGGUUCUCCAUGGCCCCAGGAGUCUUGGUCUCAUUGGGGAUGAUGCAGCGUACAAAGUGAGGUCUGAGCGGUGACUUUAUCUCCCUCACGGCUGACGAUGGAUGCCUUCACAUACUCCUCAUCAUGGUCAGGAACGAAGCACUCCUUCUUCAUAUCAAAGAUACGAGUCUGGGCCUCCAGACGCUCCUUAUCUGACUUCCUCAGAUGCUCUUACCUUACCAAUCCCUACUGAGGAGACUGAGGUGUAAUGGUCCUGUAGAAAGAAGUAAUGGAAAAUAAUGAGAUAGUUCUACAGUCCAUGCC